GAUCAAGCUACAAAGGGCGCACGGUGAAUGCCCUGGCACUAGGAGCCGAUGAAGGACGUGAUAAGCUGCGAUAAGCUACAUGUAGGCGCACACAGCCUGUGAUAUGUAGAUUUCCGAAUGGGGAAACCCAUCUAGUUAUGCUAGAUACUGUAUACCGAAUACAUAGGUAUAUGGAGGUACACCUGGGGAACUGAAACAUCUAAGUACCCAGAGGAAGAGAAAGAAAAUUCGAUUCCCUAAGUAGCGGCGAGCGAAAGGGGAAGAGCCCAAACCAGGAACUUGUUCCUGGGGUUGCGGAUAGAUCAUAACGCUUUGAUUUCUUUAGUUGAAGAGAACUGGAAAGUUCCGUCGUAGAAGGUAAUAACCCUGUAGGCGAAAAGGAAAGAAAAGUAGAUCUACUCCAGAGUACCACGAGACACGUGAAACCUUGUGGGAAGCUGGGAGGACCAUCUCCCAAGGCUAAAUACUACCUAGUGACCGAUAGUGAAGCAGUACCGUGAGGGAAAGGUGAAAAGAACCCCGGAAGGGGAGUGAAAUAGAAUCUGAAACCGUGUGCCUACAAUCGGUCGGAGCACAUUAAAGUGUGACGGCGUACUUUUUGUAGAACGGGCCAGCGAGUUACGAUAUAUAGCGAGGUUAAGCACUUAUGGUGUGGAGCCGAAGGGAAACCGAGUCUGAAUAGGGCAACUAGUUGUAUAUUGUAGACCCGAAACCGGGUGACCUAUCCAUGGCCAGGAUGAAGCGGAAGUAAAAUUCCGUGGAGGUCCGAACCACGUUGGUGUUGAAAAACCAUGGGAUGAGCUGUGGAUAGCGGAGAAAUUCCAAUCGAACUCGGAGAUAGCUGGUUCUCCUCGAAAUAGCUUUAGGGCUAGCGUCGGGUAAUUGAGUAGUGGAGGUAGAGCACUGAAUGGGCUAGGGGCUGACAACAGUUACUGAACCCUAUCAAACUCCGAAUGCCAUAUACUUGUACCCCGGCAGUCAGACUACGAAUGAUAAGAUCCGUGGUCAAAAGGGAAACAGCCCAGACCAUCAGCUAAGGUCCCAAAGUGUAAGUUAAGUGGGAAAGGAUGUGGGAUUUCUAAGACAACUAGGAUGUUGGCUUAGAAGCAGCCACUCAUUUAAAGAGUGCGUAAUAGCUCACUAGUCGAGAGAUCCUGCGCCGAAGAUGUAACGGGGCUCAAACUUACCACCGAAGCUAUGGAUGUGUACUAUGUACACGUGGUAGAGGAGCUUUCUGUACAGGUUGAAGUCAUACCGUAAGGAGUGGUGGACAGUACAGAAGUGAGAAUGCUGGCAUAAGUAGCGAAAAACAAGUGAGAAUCUUGUUGACCGAAUAUCUAAGGUUUCCUGGG
rnacentral:rRNA from 1 species